GCCCUAGAAGAUGAUGAGCUGGUGGAGUACAUCCUCACCGGGCUCGAUGAUGAGUACGACCCCGUGGUCUCAUCGGUUCUUGGUCGAUCCGAGCCUAUCUCCGUGAGCGACCUAUACUCCCAACUUCUUGCCUUCGAGA